ensembl:lncRNA
GUCAGUCGUAGCAUAUCGUCGUGGUAAAAUCCAGGACUUAUUUGUACUGCAUGAAAAUACUAUGACUUCACUUAUUUUGACGUGGUUGAUUUUACUCACCCCUCUUGUUAUUUUUAAGACUUUUUCAUGACUUCUCGAAUGUAUUUCGCUCUUUGUUGGUUAAACGAAUGGCUGGUGAUACGCACUAACCAUGACUUACAUGCACAGUACAAAGUGAGAUUGUGUGUGUGUGUGUGUGUGUGUGUGAGCUCUAUUUAUACCUGAAUGAGAACAUCGGCUUGCUCCGGCGAGAUGAGUCGCAGCUGUGAGCGUGACUCAUCUCGCCUCCCCGGUUUCACACCAACAGGAGGGACACGUAACGGAGACACAACGUACGCGCGCGCACACAAUGACUCCAGGUCACAACUUGUCCUCACAGUCAUGUCUGUCCUGCACCACUCGCUGUGGUUACUGACCCUCUGAUGCCGCCGCAGCUUCUCGUGUGCACUGUGAUGAACAAGGAGCGCAUGAAUACUGCAUUUACUUUGUAUUAAAGCUGAUGUGUGACGGAGUUUCCUGUGACCUUUGGCGCAAAACAAUUAUUUACUGUUCAUUUUAAUAAAUAACUAGAUUUGUAAAGGUUAUGCUUAGAAAAAGAAUUGUUCCAUCACAGGGAUUAUUUACAGCUCACUCUGACGUUUGCACCGUUUGUUAGCGGUUGUGUGUGAGUGCAUCACGGGACACAGAAGUGGAAGCGGCGGCAGCGUUUCCUGCGAAGAUGGAGGCCGAAGCGCUCCGGUGACUGCAGAGCUCGCGGUAUGGCGAUGCAGAUGAUGUGACACCAUGACAUGUUUACAGAAAAUCCUCAAUAACGGUGGACGCGAGGAAAAUACAUUUCCAACAGACACACGUCUUAAGCGCAGGAAACUCCUGUUCGGGUCUUUGUUUUUGCUCCUGACAGCCCGUUCACACACAUCAUUGACGCAUUUCUGUGCCUCUGACGUCCCAGCGAGCUGCGUCCGCUCAUGCGUGCAGCUCCUGGAUGAUUUCCUCAAAACUU